rnacentral:rRNA from 1 species
AACUUUCAACAACGGAUCUCUUGGUUCCGGCAUCGAUGAAGAACGCAGCGAAAUGCGAUAAGUAAUGUGAAUUGCAGAAUUCCGUGAAUCAUCGAAUCUUUGAACGCACAUUGCGCCCUCUGGUAUUCCGGGGGGCAUGCCUGUCCGAGCGUCAU